rnacentral:rRNA from 1 species
AGGUGUCGUCGGAGGAUCAUUACAGAGUUACUACUCCAAACCCAUUGGUGAACCUUACCUAUGUUCUGUUGCCUCGGCGGCGUCGGUCAGCGCCCCUCUGAGAAGAGGACGAUGCCCCUCCCGCCGGCAGCACCAAACUCUUGAAUUUUACAGCGGAUUACAGUUCUGAUUUGAAAACAAAAAACAAGUUAAAACUUUCAACAACGGAUCUCUUGGUUCUGGCAUCGAUGAAGAACGCAGCGAAAUGCGAUAAGUAAUGUGAAUUGCAGAAUUCAGUGAAUCAUCGAAUCUUUGAACGCACAUUGCGCCCGGCAGUAAUCUGCCGGGCAUGCCUGUCCGAGCGUCAUUUCAACCCUCGAACCUCCGUUUCCUCAGGGAAGCCCAGGGUCGGUGUUGGGGCGCUACGGCGAGUCCCUCGCGACCCCCGUAGGCCCUGAAAUACAGUGGCGGUCCCGCCGCGGUUGCCUUCUGCGUAGUAAGUCUCUUUUGCAAGCUCGCAUUGGGUCCCGGCGGAGGCCUGCCGUCAAACCACCUAACAACUCCAGAUGGUUUGACCUCGGAUCAGGUAGGGUUACCC